AUGGAAUGCAGGUUGCUAGUCAGGGGACCUUGAGGGACACGAUCCUGACUUUUCCCAGCUGGGAUGGAGCAAGGACAGCACGGCUUUGUGACAUCUGACUGCGUGGAAGCUUGAAUCAGAAUGGGAUGCACUGAGAAGGCUCAGACUGUCGCAGAAGCAGGUGCAUCCUUCUGCACUUUCAGGAACCCUGUUAGAUCAGCUAGCGUUCAAGCGUGCAUGAGCUGGACGUUUACUUACAACCUGGCACCACGCAACUGUCCACUGAAGAUUUCAACGCAGAACCCCGGUCCCAGCCUCGAGGAGCAGCUGGCUGUUUUUCUCCAAACUCUGGUAGAUGGUAUAGACUGGAGGUAGGAAAUUUUCACAUGGACCCAAGAUUUCAUGUCGAUUUGUGAUGGAUUAGCAUUCCAAAAUUGCUUCAGGUGCACUUAGUGGAUGCAUUACUGUAGAAGGGAUCCGCCUAAGCAGAGUAUUUCUGAAUUUAUGCAAUUGAAAUACUCUUCAAGUUUCCAAGCAGUCUAAAUCUGUCAGUCAUGGGGUGGGAACAGGUCGGUGCUGGUGGCAGAGGUGCUGGAAACAACAGUGUCUAGGCCUCGCUGGCACUCAGGCACAGCCUUUCCCAGUGGCAGAAGCAGAGCCUGGAUCUUCUGAGCGCUCCUAGCCUCCUGCACAAAUGGGUGAAUGAAUGCCUGCAGGCUGCA